UAGAGUACCGUGGUUGUAAACCCUAUUAAUGGGUACACGUCACGUUAAAUAAACUCGACUUCAUGUCCCUAUCUACUAUCUAGCGAAACCACAGCCAAGGGAACGGGCUUGGAAUAAUUAGCGGGGAAAGAAGACCCUUUUGAGCUUGACUCUAAUCUGGCAGUGUAAGGAGACAUAAGAGUGUAGAAUAAGUGGGAGAUAUUAUUCCUUGUGUUUGAUAUCGCCAAUGAAAUACCACUACUCUUAUUGUUUCCUUACUUACUUGAUUAAAUGGAACGUGUAUCAUUUCCUAGCC
rnacentral:ncRNA from 1 species